CCCUUAGAUGUUCUGGGCCGCACGCGCGCUACACUGAAUGGAUCAACGUGUUUUCCCUUCCCGAGAGGGACGGGUAACCCGCUGAACCCCAUUCGUGGUAGGGAUCGGAGCUUGCAAUUGUUCUCCGUGAACCAGGAAUUCCCAGUAAGCGCAAGUCAUAAGCUUGCGUUGAUUACGUCCCUGCCCUUUGUACACACCGCCCGUCGCACCUACCGAUUGAAUGGUCCGGUGAAAUCUCGGGACGGCGGCUUGGUCGCUUGCGUCCGACUGCUGAAACUUGAUUAAACCAUAUCAUUUAGAGGAAGGUGAAGUCGUAACA
rnacentral:rRNA from 1 species